rnacentral:snRNA from 1 species
CCAACUUUUAAUAAAAUAUGUGUAAAAAAAAAAUCUGUUCUUAUCAGUUUAAUAUCUGAUACGUCCCCUAUCUGGGGACCAUAUAUUAAAUUGAUUUUUGGAACAGGGAGAUGGAAUAGGGGCUUGCUCCGUCCACUCCACGCAUCGACCUGGUAUUGCAGUACUUCCAGGAGCGGUGCACUUUCU